rnacentral:rRNA from 1 species
AGUGAACGCUGGCGGCGUGCCUAAUACAUGCCAGUCGAACGAUGAAGUCCUAGCUUGCUCGGAUGGAUUAGUGGCGCACGGGUGAGUAAUAUAUAGUUAAUCUGCCCUACACAGAGGAACAACAGUUGGAAACGACUGCUAAUACCUCAUACUCCUAUUUGACAUAAGUUAAAUAGGGAAAGUCUUUUCGGUGUAGGAUGAGACUAUAUCGUAUCAGCUAGUUGGUAAGGUAAUGGCUUACCAAGGCUAUGACGCGUAACUGGUCUGAGAGGAUGAUCAGUCACAUUGGAACUGAGACACGGUCCAAACUCCUACGGGAGGCAGCAGUAAGGAAUAUUGCGCAAUGGGGGAAACCCUGACGCAGCAACGCCGCGUGGAGGAUGACACUUUUCGGAGCGUAAACUCCUUUUAUCAGGAAAGAAUAAUGACGGUACCUGAUGAAUAAGCACCGGCUAACUCCGUG